rnacentral:sRNA from 1 species
GCUGGGCGCAGUGGCAUGCCUGUAAUCCAAGCAGCUCUGGAGGCUGAGGCAGGAGGAUUGUCAGUUCAAAGCCAGUCUCAGAGGCCCUAAGCAACUCAGUGAGACCCUGUCUCUA